GGGCUGCCCCGGGGGUCCCACAUCCCGCCUUGGGGUCCGAGGGCAGCCCCAGGAGUCCCGAACCCUGCCUUGGGGGUCCAAGUGCUGCCCCAGGGGUCCCACAUCCUACCUUGGGAGUCCGAGCCCAUCCCAGGGAUCCUGAACUCUGCCUUGCAGGUCCAAAUGCCCCCCGGGAUCCCAUAUACUGCUUUGGGGGUGUGAGUGCGGUCCUGGGGAUCCCAGACACUUCCUUGGGGGCAUCUGAGCUGUUCCACGGGGGUCCUGAACUCUGCCGUAGGAUCUGGAGCCCGGCCGGGGAGUGGGGGCUCCAGAGCACUGCUUGGAGGUUCUGAAUUUAGCCUGGGGGGUCGUGAAGUCUGUGUCAGUAGUCCAAAUGUGGCAUGGGGGUUUCAGGCACCAGGGGUUCAGGCCCUGGGGUUAGAACCAGCCGUGGGGCCCCAAACUGCCUUGGAGAUUCUGGUCCGGUCCCAGGGGUUCCAAAGUGUGCGUUGUUAGCCUGGAGUGUGGCUCCAGACUCUGCCUUGUGGGGGAGGGGGGCAAGUGGGGCACCAGGGGUUCUGUACUCUGCUGAGGGAGUCCUGUCCCAUCCCCGGGGGUCUGGAACCCUGCCUUGGGGGUCCUAGCCAGUCCUUAGGAGUCUAAAAGUUUGCCUGGCAUGUCUGAGUCCAUCAGUACUUCAGGCUUAGGGUUUAGCCGCAUGGGUUCCCCAGUCUGCCUUGGGCAUGGGAUGCUGACUUGGGGCAUCCCCGAUGCUGCCUGGGGGUCUGGAUCUGGCCUGGCCGGAUUCUGAAGUCUGUGCUGGUAGCCUGAGUGUGGCCCUGGGGGUCCCAGGACCUCCUUGGCGAUCAGAACCUGGAUGGUGAAGGUGGUGUGGAGCAUGACUGCACAGUCCACCGGGUCCAGCAGAGAGAGGGGUGGGCUGGUUCCAAAGGAGCGCCCCUCCUGUUCAGACUGUGAUCAGUUCUCUUCUCCAGGAAAAAUCCCAAACAGCAUCCACGUUUCCUGUAAUGAUGGGAUGGCUCCUCAUUCUAACAUAAUGCAGAGGGAGAUGGCAGAGAGUAGUACAGGGGGACGUGGCCCGGGAAAGCAGCUCAGUGGCUCUGUAGGGAUGGGUGUGGGGAUUAAAAGCAGUGUUGGAGAUGGUGUUUCGUGCAGGAUCUGUCCUGUGCGCAGCCCGGACAAACGUGAGCAAGUUGAGCAGAAUGUAGAUCGUUUGUCUUAAAGAAAAUGGGCAAAGUCAGAAUGUGGCCCCAGUGUCGCCCAUGAAGCCCUGGACGGGCCAUUGUUCCUGGAUGCCAUUUCCUGGCGGAGGGAACGAGAGGCUGGAUUAAAAGUUGCCAUAUCGAAUGCCCGAGUAUGUGUGUUCUGGGCGGCGUCUAUCGUUCUGUGGCUGGUCCCCCGGCCCUCCGCUCCGUCACACGGCUCGAGACCGCCAGGCACAGGGAAUGUGGAGGAGCGCGUCCGUGGAAAUACCCUGGGUCUUCUGUCCCCGCGAGGGUGUGUUUGGAGGGCCUGGGUCUGAGAUGCUGGGGUGGCGCCUGUCUGCAGCGGGAGGCCGGCUGGAGAGCACACAGCCGCACGCCGCGGUCCUGUUACGCCACCUGGCGUAAGAUGCGGGCAGGUCCCCUCAUGCAAGCCCUACCUCCUCCGGAGGAGUGCAGUCUUACUUGGGGGAGAAGAACUGCGGAGCUCACGUUUCCAGGGCUGUGUCUGUCGGGCGCUGGGCUCUCCGCGGCACACACACCUCUCCCCGCUGUCCUCCGCUUGCUGUCCUGGCUGGAUCCCCUGCGCCGCGCCGGAGCCUGCCUUCCCAGCGGUUUCUAGGGGCGGGUGGGGGAGGGAAGCGGCGAGGAUUAACGCUGGAUAAUGAGGUAACGCAUAUUUUUUACGGCUUUACUAUUGACGGUGUGUCUUAUGGCUGCUGAUGGAGGGUAGACGGUUUCCUCCUGAGUAAGUUGGGAAUCCUACCCCCUGACCUUCAUGCAGAUGCAGAGCUGUGUGGAGACAGUCCCCCAGCAUCUCCUGUUUAUUAUACACAGCACAGAAAUGGUGCUGGGGCUGUGGGAAGGAUAGGGAAGAGAGGUGAAGACAGGUGCCCUGGGGUAGAUGCGCUGUGCACGGAACAGGAGCGUGGAGGAAGCAGUCGUGUUUGGGCUCAGUUUUCAAAGUAUUCCAUUGUCUUGAUUGUCAAAUAUCCAUGGGUUGUAAGAUGCAUCGUGGGUGGCCUGGUCAGAUGCAUCCUGAGGUGAGAGACCCCAAACCAGGCACAGUGAGUUAGAAUCAAGGAGAGCCGGGGUGAAUGACUUACCCCUCUGCCUUCGCAGAAAUAGACCACCUGCAGAUCGUGCCUUCCGUAAGCCGAGCCCCUCCCAAUUCCUGCGCAUUGUCUGGGUUUUCUUGCUUUCUUCUCUCUGCUGACAACCGUUUAACCACGUCAAGUGGUAGACGAUGUACCUAACGUCCCCCGUGUUUGGAAGUCUGUGUACCUUUGAGAGAGAUGAGUGAGUCGGGGGUGGCUUGCAGAUUCAGGCUUCGUGCCGCGAUCUGACUUUUCUUGUGUCAUAGUGGAAGGUCUGGCCGAGAGGGGGUGAAAGCUGUGUCGGUCUGCGAUGGCAGUGGCCGGGACGGUGUGUCGGUGCAGGAAGGACCCUCAGGGGGCCGGGAUGCUAGUGGAAGUGGACCCCGACGGCCAGUGCGGCGCCCAUGCAGGAGGCCUAGGAAUCAGGCUGGCCAGUUCAUCUCCGUGGUGACCCUCUUUGAGGUGAUGGCCAGGAGGAGGAGCUCCAUACUGGCGCAGGGAGCACCCUCGGGGGGCCAAGAUGUCAGUGGGCCCGGCACCCGCCGGCGAGGGCGGCCACCGCGGAAGCACCGCAAGAGGAAGGUGGCCUUCACCACAGAGGUGACCCUCUUUGAGAUGGUCGCCCUGGGGAAGAACUCGGUGCAGACGGCCGUUGAGGAGUGGGUGCAGUCCUAUAAAGAGGACAGGGAGCUGGCCUUGCUGGACCUCAUCAGCUUCUUCGUCCAGUGCUGUGGCUGUGAAGGGAUGGUGACGGCCGAGCUGUACCAGAGCAACCAAGGCCAGAACGUGGUGCACAAAAUGACCGAGAAGUUUGACCAGGAGACUGGGCUGUACUACAAGAAGUUUCUGGCCUACCCCUGGAUCCUGACCAUCGUGUGGCCAGAGAAACUGCAGAGUGACUUUUACCCCAUCGUGGGGCCGGGGCCCUUCUGGAAGAGGUUUCGGGUGAACUUCUGUGAGUUCACAGAGCUGCUGGUGCACCUGACACACUCCUCGGUGCUGUGUGAUGGACACCUCAUGGACACGGUGAUCUGCAUGCUCAGCGGCCUCACCAACUCGGCCGUGCACAGCCUGCGGCACACCAGCUCCCUGGCAGCCAUGAAGCUGCUGACGGCGCUGGCCAGCGUGAACCAGGGCAUCUGCACAGGCAGGCGCACGGCCCAGCGGCUGUACGAGAUCGAGAGCAUCACAAAGCUCAAGGGCAGACACAAGUACUACAUGGAGCUGUUGGACCAGCGCAGACACCAGUUCCAGAACAAGCCAAUGGCCAUCGACAACAUCAUCUGUGCGCUCUUUAAGAGGACAUUUGUGCCCCGCUACCGUGACAUCAGCUCGGACAUCCGUGUGAUCUGUAUGGGGGAGCUCGGCUGCUGGAUCAGGCUGUAUCCGGACAUGUUCCUGGACAACAACUACUUGAAGUACAUCGGCUGGAUGCUGUACGACAAGGACGCGAGUGUGCGGAUGAAGUGCAUCCUGGCACUGAAGGCACUCUAUGAGAAAAGAGAGUCGGCUAUGAAGUUGGGCCUUUUCUUCUAUAAGUUCAAGAAACGAAUCCUGUCGAUGACGCAGGACAGGCAGCCGGAAAUCACGUCCGAGUGCAUGCAGCUCCUGAGGCUCAUAUCCGAGCACUACGUGGGCGUGUUCUCCGCCAUGGAAUACGUCUUCCUGUUCCAGUUUGUGUACGCGGCCUACAGGCCCAUGGCGACAGCCGCGGGCGAGCUCAUCUGUAAGAGGCUCCUGGCCCCUCCACCCCACGAAGGUUUCUUUGGUCAAGAGCCCCCUGAUGAGUUUGAUAGAAAUCUCCAGAACAUGAAGACGCUUAUCGACUUCUACCUGCAGGGCGAGACACAGGUGUCCUUUGGUAAUAGCCGGGAGUCCCAGUGCCAUGUCUCAGACAACCAGGCCCGUCUCAUUCCUGGCAGGACCAGCAUCCUCAACCAUGCUCCCUGGGGUCACUGGAGGAGACUGUUUCUUGAUCCACUGACGAACCAGCAGGAAAGAGUGCUCAUUGAGAUGCUCGUGGCCGCCGUGCGACAGGCUGCAGAGGGCCGCCCGCCUGCCGGCCGCCGACUGGGCAAGAAAGCGGCCAGGGAGGUGGACGGGACCCGCCGCUGGCGUGAGCAUGCCACCAUGAGCCGACACUUUGUCAAGGUGCUGCCCCGGCUGCUCUCCAAGUUUGCAGCAGACAAAGAGAAGGUGACCCCCCUCCUGCAGAUCCCACAGUAUUGCAACCUGGACGUGUACGACAUGGACGGCCUGGGCUCGUACCUGGACGCAGCCCUGCUAGAGCUGGACUGCCUGGUGCAGCGGCACUCGGACGUGGCGGUGCUGGAGGCCUGUGCCCGCGCCUACGGCACCUACUGUGACGAAGGGGGCUCUGCCCACUGCCAGGCUGCCCCCGCCUGCAGCCGGCUGGUGGACAUGCUGGUGGACGUGCUGACCCCACUGCUGGACGUGUUCAUCCAACGCGAGAAACAGGGCCUGUUCCUGGGACACGGUGAGAUGGGGCGGAUCUGCUCCACGCUGCGGAGACUGGCGGCCUUCUACAGUGCACACGACCUGAGCAGCUGGAACCUGUACGAGAAGAUGGAUAGCCUGCUUACCUUCCGCAGGCACCAGGGCAGCCUGCCCACUGAGGUUGUCCACUGUGCGCUCCAGUGCACCUACUAUGCGCUCCUGUGGCAGAUUGUCGCGGCCACGGACCGGCUGCCGCCCCAGGAGGCGCUCCUGGACUUGAGGAAAAGGCUGAUGAAGUUCUGCCUGGUCUGCCGCGUGUACCUGAACCACCAGAGCAAGGUGCUGAGUGAGAAGGCCUUCAUCCUGCUCUGCGACCUGCUGCUCAUCCUGAGCCACCAGGGCCCUGAGGAGGACAAGGGCCUGGGGCUACUGUUCUUCGUCCCCGAUCACGUCCUGCAGUGCAAGCUGCUCACCUUUGUCAGGGAGCACGUGUUCCUGGAGGACACAGGAGCCGCAGGUCCCAGCAGAGUUUACAAGGAGGAGGAUGCAGACGAGCUGCAUGAGCUGUUCCACAGGAGAAACAUGCUGGCCGUGUUCUGUAAGCUCAUCGUCUGCAACGUGCUGGAGAUGAGCGCGGCCGCCGACAUCUACCAGUUCUACCUGAAGCACUACCAUCACUUUGGCGACAUCAUCAAGGAGACCAUGACGAGGACGAGGCAGAACGACAGGCUCCGCAAUGCGCUGUCCCUGCUUCUGUGUCUGCAGCAGCUGUUCCAGAAGCACGUGGACACGUAUGGCCUUGGCUAUGACCCCAUUGAGUUCAUCUGCGGCCCCUUCUACUCCAUCCGGCUGCUGGCCCGACGCUUUGCGCUCACCCUCGGCUUUGACCGCGCCCCAGACGCUGCCCACCUGAUCCACAGGCGUGGGCUGGCCUUUGCCUUCUCUGAGUCCCCAGUGCCUGAAGAGGAGGCUCGGCAGCGCUUCCCCAACCUCAGCUUCCUGCUCGUGCUGUCCGAGUUCUCCUGCAAGAUCCCACCAGCCGAGCGACAAGCUGCACUCGCCCACUUCCAGGACUCCAUCCCCGAGGGCGUGCCUGUCUUUGGGGAGGGGGACAUGAACCCUAUGCUUGUCUACCGCAAGUCCCUGAUGAGGACAGACUACGUGGCCCAGGGGGAGGAGGAGCCUGCCGCCAACCCGUUCGACGCCAUAUGCAAAGACAGCAAGCGGCCCCAAGAGCUGCCCGUGGGGAUGUGCUCCACCUGGACACCAGACACCCUGGCCAGCUCCAGCACAGGGGACAGAGAGACGAGGAACUCCUCCAAGGGCCAGAAGUCCAAGAGGGAUGUCUUUGAUGUUGACUUCCUGUCGUCGGAGGACUCUGAGAACUCUUCCAAUGAAGACGUGGACGUGGAAGGCAUCUCCGUCCCCGAGGUCGGUGCAGGCUGGGCCCCCGGGCGGUGGCCACGUGGGGGCGCUGGCCUGGGCCUGCCUUUCCUGCCAUGGCCCCCUCAUCCCGGGGUGGUGCAGAGGCGGGAUGUCCCAUCUGAUGGGGUCUCCUGGGUGACGCUGUGGCCUCUGUGCCCAGUGGGGGCGGGAGCAGGCCCGUCCCCAUGUUCAUGGCGGGGGGGUGGGGUGGAGAUUUGGGCUCCGGUCCGACAGCUCACCAGGUGUCUGCUGUGUGGACGAUCACCUGGCUGCGAGACUGGGGGUGGGGCAGGCCCCUGAGCCAUCCCAGGUGCGUGCGCUCCAGGCUCACGUGGUGUGCUAGGGGCCCGAGGCUGGCAGGGUGUGGGCCGCACGCUCUGGCCUGCUUGGCUUAGGACACUAGGUUUUGGGGUGCCCUGGGGGCCUCAGCAGCUCUGUUGGCUCCUGCCUGGCGGCCCCCAAGUCACACCUCUAGGAUGGGUCUGGCAUGGCCCUCAGAGCGGUGCAGAGGCUCCUGGCAAGGCAGCCCCGCGUCGUGUGCACACCCACCCUCCACCAUGCGGACACCUGGGCGGAGUCAGUGUUCCAGCCCGAGGGCCCUGAGCAGUGGGAGUGCGGGAAGGCUGUGCCCCGUGCCCCUUCCGCAUCCCCCACCCUGCUCGGCUGCUCCCAGGGCCUGGCAGGCGGGGGUCCCAGGCCGCUGUCCACCCCACCCAAAGUGCCCACCCCACGCUGACUGGAAACCAGCCCAGGCCACGGGGGCGUCAGACUGAAGAGGACACACGCCCCGCUGGGACUCAGGUCAGGAGUUCCGUGUUCCUCCUCGGUUGCUGCCUUGCGUUCCUGGGCUUGGGGAGCCAGCGGCGUCCAGGUGCGGCUGACCCAGGCCCCUGGGGGCUCCAGGCGGAUGGCGGUGACCUCUGCCAUCCGCCCCUGCGCAUCCCAGCCCCGUGUGUGGGGAGAGGGCCACGUGGCCGUUGACUGGGGCCCCCCGGGGUGCCCACGCACCCACCCACCUACCCACCAGGUGCCUACCCACCUGCGACUUCCCUCUGGCGACUGCUGUGCUCGGCUGGAAGGUUCUGGAGCCAGCUUUGCCCCCGGCCGUGGAGCAUCCUGCUGGCUCCCUAGUGCGACGUGGUCCUGCGUGGAGCGGCGCUAGCUCUUCCUUCCCCAGGGCCCCGCUGUUGGGCGUUCCCUGGCGUCCAGCGCUGAGGGCCGGAUGCAGGGCAGGUAUGGGCCUGCUGCCCGCGGUCGGCUCAGCACCCGCUCGCCUCAGGCAAACCCGCUGCACCCGACUCGGGGCGGGGGCUGGACGCACGUAGGCCGCCCUCCCUGGACACGCAGGGUGGGGCACUCCGCGCCUCAGACCCCGUUUGGUGCCAAACCAGAACUCUCGGGGCCAGUGUGGAGGACGCCCCCGUGUGGACGCGGACAGCGAGGCCGGUGUGUGGGGAGGACUCCCGCUGGUGUGCAGAGGCAAGAGCCGGCCCGGGACCUCAGGCCUCUGCAGCCCCGCGCAGACCUGGGUCUGGGGCUUGCCGUCCGGGGGGCGGGGGGAACACCAGUGCCUCUGGCUGUGCCCUCCCCAGGACCCUGGAAGCCACGGUGGGAAAGCACGGCCCUUGGCCGUGGCGUCAGGACCACGGGUGGCCCGCGUGCAGGUCUGGGCAGCAGGGCCACCCUGCUGGACACUCGGGGCCCCGCGGCCUGGGGCCCGCACCCCAGAGCCGUGCACGCCGCGUGGAGUCUCCCGUGGGGACACUGCCGUCUGCCCCCGUAGCGCCCCCGCCUGGCGUCUGUGCCCGUCGUGCCCUGUGUGUGCUGUGUCGUGGGCUGGGCAAGCCGAGCCCGUCACAGAAAAUCCGUAAACUCUUUAUUUGAAAAUACAAACGUGAUCUCGUAAAACAUUUUUAAACUG